GAUGAACGCUGGCGGCGUGCUUAACACAUGCAAGUCGAACGAUGAAGCCCAGCUUGCUGGGUGGAUUAGUGGCGAACGGGUGAGUAACACGUGAGUAACCUGCCCUUAACUCUGGGAUAAGCCUGGGAAACUGGGGCUAAUACCGGAUAGGAGCGUCCACCGCAUGGUGGGUGUUGGAAAGAUUUAUCGGUUUUGGAUGGACUCGCGGCCUAUCAGCUUGUUGGUGAGGUAAUGGCUCACCAAGGCGACGACGGGUAGCCGGCCUGAGAGGGUGACCGGCCACACUGGGACUGAGACACGGCCCAGACUCCUACGGGAGGCAGCAGUGGGGAAUAUUGCACAAUGGGCGCAAGCCUGAUGCAGCGACGCCGCGUGAGGGAUGACGGCCUUCGGGUUGUAAACCUCUUUCAGUAGGGAAGAAGCGAAAGUGACGGUACCUGCAGAAGAAGCACCGGCUAACUACGUG
rnacentral:rRNA from 1 species